rnacentral:lncRNA from 1 species
AAAAAAGCCACCCUGCGGCCGGGGCCGGAGCUGGAGCCGCCGCUGCCGCCGCCGCCGCGGCCGUCUGGAGCUCCCCCGCGCGGACGAUGCCUGCCGUGCCCGCCUGGGGCUCGGGGCGGUGAGGCCCGGGGCGCGGGGUAGCUAUGGCGACGGCAAGCGCGGCCCGCGGCGCCGCCUGACAGGUGUGGGCCCCGGCGGCGGCGGCGUGGAGCAGCAUGUACGCCAAGGGGGGCAAGGGUUCGGCCGUGCCCUCCGACAGCCAGGCCCGCGAGAAGUUGGCGCUGUACGUUUAUGAGUACCUGCUGCACAUCGGUGCCCAGAAGUCAGCCCAGACCUUCCUGUCUGAGAUCCGAUGGGAGAAGAACAUCACGCUGGGGGAGCCCCCUGGGUUCCUGCACUCCUGGUGGUGCGUCUUCUGGGACCUGUACUGCGCGGCGCCUGACAGAAGAGAGGCCUGCGAGCACUCCGGCGAGGCCAAGGCCUUCCAGGACUAUAGUGCUGCAGCCGCCCCCAGCCCCGUUAUGGGGAGUAUGGCCCCAGGUGACACAAUGGCCGCAGGCUCCAUGGCGGCUGGCUUCUUCCAGGGCCCCCCCGGCUCCCAGCCGUCCCCCCACAACCCCAACGCCCCCAUGAUGGGGCCUCACGGUCAGCCCUUCAUGUCACCGCGCUUCCCAGGGGGCCCCCGGCCCACCCUGCGGAUGCCGAGUCAGCCUCCCGCAGGCCUCCCUGGCUCCCAGCCCCUCCUCCCUGGCGCCAUGGAGCCCUCCCCACGAGCCCAGGGGCAUCCGAGCAUGGGCGGCCCAAUGCAGAGGGUGACGCCUCCUCGUGGCAUGGCCAGCGUGGGGCCCCAGCUAUGGAGGUGGCAUGCGACCCCCACCCAACUCCCUCGCCGGCCCAGGCCUGCCUGCCAUGAACAUGGGCCCAGGAGUUCGUGGCCCGUGGGCCAGCCCCAGUGGAAACUCGAUCCCCUACUCCUCCUCAUCCCCCGGCAGCUACACCGGACCCCCAGGAGGAGGUGGGCCCCCUGGAACACCCAUCAUGCCUAGCCCUGGAGAUUCCACCAACUCCAGCGAAAACAUGUACACUAUCAUGAACCCCAUCGGGCAGGGCGCCGGCAGGGCUAAUUUCCCGCUCGGCCCUGGCCCGGAGGGCCCCAUGGCCGCCAUGAGCGCGAUGGAGCCUCACCACGUGAACGGAUCCCUGGGCUCGGGCGACAUGGACGGGUUGCCGAAGUUCCCCCGGCGCCGUGGCCGGCCUGAGCAACGCCCCGGGCACCCCGCGGGACGACGGCGAGAUGGCGGCCGCCGGGACCUUCCUGCACCCGUUCCCGAGCGAAAGCGUAAGCGACUGCGUCGACUCCCCCCCCGCGGCGGCGUCGGGCCGGAGGGGCUGGCGGGCAGGCCCCGGCGGGGCGGCCGGGGGGCCAGAGCAAGACCGUGACCGCGGCGGGCCAGUACUCGCCAGGGAUGACCAUGAGCGUGUGAUGGGGCGGCAGCCCCGGGCCUCUCUGCGGGCCUAGGCUUCUGCCCAGCGCCCCUGCUCAGGGCGAGGGGCUGAGGUCACACCUCGGGCACCUGGACUCCUGGCCAAUCAAGGCUUGCCCAGCUGGGAGGCCCCACACGAAAGACUCUUACCAUUUUAUUAAAAACGCAAGGACCUCAGAGACGUUCUUUUCUGUAUGGACCCUUCCUGCCAUUUGUAUUUUGUCCCAGAGAGAAAGGCUCUUUGGGGGGCCCCUCUCCCCAGGACGUCAGGGGGUGGGGCCCAUAAAUAAAUGGAAGCUGGUUUUGGUUUUUG